UCAAUGUUUUCUACAAGGAGCAACAGGCAAAACUACUUGAAGACUUGAGGUUGCAGAACGUUUUGCAAAAAGGUGCAAAUUUAUCAGGGGAUGGAAGAUCUGAUAGUCCUGGAUUCUCUGCCAAAUACUGCACAUACAGUAUGAUGGACGAUGUCAACAAAAACGUUGUCCACUUCGAGUUGGUGCAGGUUACUGAAGCUACAAGUUCUGUUGCCAUGGAACCAGUAGCCUUCAAAAGGUGUGUAGACUUUCUUUUGGACAGUGGAUUAAAAGUAGACGUGAUCACCACGGACAGGUCCCCCUCAAUAAGAAAGACUAUGAGGGUCGAUUACCCUCGUAUACAACACGAGUUUGACAUCUGGCAUGUAGUAAAGGGGUUCUUCAAAAAAAUGCUGUCAAUUGCAAAAAAAAAAGAGAAUCAAGACCUCCAGCCUUGGAUAAAAAAUAUAUGCAACCAUUUGUGGUAUGCAUGUGCAUCCUGUGGCGGGAACCCCCC